rnacentral:rRNA from 1 species
GACGAACGCUGGCGGCGUGCUUAACACAUGCAAGUCGAACGAAGAGCGACGGAAGCUUGCUUCUAUCAAUCUUAGUGGCGAACGUGUGAGUAACGCGUAAUCAACCUGCCCUUCAGAGGGGGACAACAGUUGGAAACGACUGCUAAUACCGCAUACGAUCUAAUCUCGGCAUCGAGGAUGGAUGAAAGGUGGCCUCUACAUGUAAGCUAUCACUGAAGGAGGGGAUUGCGUCUGAUUAGCUAGUUGGAGGGGUAACGGCCCACCAAGGCGAUGAUCAGUAGCCGGUCUGAGAGGAUGAACGGCCACAUUGGGACUGAGACACGGCCCAGACUCCUACGGGAGGCAGCAGUGGGGAAUCUUCCGCAAUGGACGAAAGUCUGACGGAGCAACGCCGCGUGAGUGAUGACGGCCUUCGGGUUGUAAAGCUCUGUUAAUCGGGACGAAAGGCCUUCUUGCGAAUAGUGAGAAGGAUUGACGGUACCGGAAUAGAAAGCCACGGCUAACUACGUG